AUUGAACGCUGGCGGAAUGCUUUACACCUUUUAANACGAGCGGCAGCGCGGGGCAACCUGGCGGCGAGCNGCGAACGGGUGAGUAAUGCAUCGGAACAUGUCCAUGUCGUGGGGGAUAGCCCGGCGAAAGCCGGAUUAAUACCGCAUACGCCCGAGAGGGGAAAGUGGGGGACCGCAAGGCCUCACGCGAUUGGGUUGGCCGAUGUCCGAUUAGCUAGUUGGUGGGGUAAAGGCUUACCAAGGCGAUGAUCGGUAGCUGGUCUGAGAGGAUGAUCAGCCACACUGGGACUGAGACACGGCCCAGACUCCUACGGGAGGCAGCAGUGGGGAAUUUUGGACAAUGGGGGCAACCCUGAUCCAGCCAUUCCGCGUGAGUGAAGAAGGCCUUCGGGUUGUAAAGCUCUUUUGUCCGGAACGAAACGGUGAACGUGAAUAUCGUUCGCUACUGAC
rnacentral:rRNA from 1 species